CGGAAGUAGCGCAGGAAGCGCGAAAAGAUAGAACAGGGACACGAAGGAUUUCCUGCCAGGACGGCGGGUUGAUAGGGAUGUCGAAGGGAAACAGUCUGGAAAACCCCGCUUAGGCGGGGUUUU
rnacentral:sRNA from 1 species